rnacentral:rRNA from 1 species
GAUGAACGCUGGCGGCGCGCCUAACACAUGCAAGUCGGACGGCACCCCUCUCCGGAGGGAAGCGAGUGGCGAACGGCUGAGUAACACGUGGAGAACCUGCCCCCUCCCCCGGGAUAGCCGCCCGAAAGGACGGGUAAUACCGGAUACCCCGGGGUGCCGCAUGGCACCCCGGCUAAAGCCCCGACGGGAGGGGAUGGCUCCGCGGCCCAUCAGGUAGACGGCGGGGUGACGGCCCACCGUGCCGACAGCGGGUAGCCGGGUUGAGAGACCGACCGGCCAGAUUGGGACUGAGACACGGCCCAGACUCCUACGGGAGGCAGCAGUGGGGAAUCUUGCGCAAUGGGGGGAACCCUGACGCAGCGACGCCGCGUGCGGGACGGAGGCCUUCGGGUCGUAAACCGCUUUCAGCAGGGAAGAGUCAAGACU